GGGGAUGUCAUGGUUUCGACGGGGAGUCCUUAAUAUUAGACAGCAAGUAGUAGUCGCCUAGUCUACUUUAAAAGAGGCACAAAUUAAAUGCUAACAAAGUAGCAAAAUCAAAUGUAGUAAGCUUCCCAGCUCCUGCAUUUGCAAUGGCAGCCUAGAGUAGCCACGGUGCUUGAUAGAAUGCUUUGACUAUCAAAUCAUUGGAAUAUAAAAAGCCACUGGAUUAGUUUUGUGACAACCGAACCUAAUCAACACAAUAUUGUCAGCAAGAGUUUUGGUCUUGCUAAAUUGUACCAAAACUUCCAAGAGCCAAACAAUAUAGCUAAACUUGUAGAAUCUUUUAAUUAUUACUUUUCGGAAAGGGGUUCGACUCCCCUCAUCUCCACCA
rnacentral:tmRNA from 1 species